rnacentral:misc_RNA from 1 species
ACCGAAGAAGCCGAUUAUCAGGUUAAAUUGAAAAAAAUUAUCAGCUUCUUGGAAAAUCAAGACAAAGUUAAAAUUAGCAUCCGUUUCCGCGGACGUGAAAUGGCGCACCAAGAUAUUGGUCGUAAACAACUUGAUCGUAUCAUUGAAGAUACUGCUGAUAUCUCAAACGUCGAACAAUAUCCUAAGAUGGAAGGUCGUCAAAUGGGUAUGUUGCUUGGACCUACAAAGAAAAAGUAGUCUUUUAUGAGAUUGCUUUAAGAAUUGGCUGUCAGUCCAUAUAGUUAUUUAUAACUCUAACCAUCAAUAUGCUACGGGAUA